GACGAACGCUGGCGGCGUGCCUAAUACAUGCAAGUUGAGCGCUGAAGGUUGGUACUUGUACCAACUGGAUGAGCAGCGAACGGUGAGUAACGCGUGGGGAAUCUGCCUUUGAGCGGGGGACAACAUUUGGAAACGAAUGCUAAUACCGCAUAAAAACUUUAAACACAAGUUUUAAGUUUGAAAGAUGCAAUUGCAUCACUCAAAGAUGAUCCCGCGUUGUAUUAGCUAGUUGGUGAGGUAAAGGCUCACCAAGGCGAUGAUACAUAGCCGACCUGAGAGGGUGAUCGGCCACAUUGGGACUGAGACACGGCCCAAACUCCUACGGGAGGCAGCAGUAGGGAAUCUUCGGCAAUGGACGAAAGUCUGACCGAGCAACGCCGCGUGAGUGAAGAAGGUUUUCGGAUCGUAAAACUCUGUUGGUAGAGAAGAACGUUGGUGAGAGUGGAAAGCUCAUCAAGUGACGGUAACUACCCAGAAAGGGACGGCUAACUACGUG
rnacentral:rRNA from 1 species